rnacentral:rRNA from 1 species
CCUACGGGAGGCAGCAGUAGGGAAUAUUGCUCAAUGGGGGAAACCCUGAAGCAGCAACGCCGCGUGGAGGAUGAAGGUUUUCGGAUUUUAAACUCCUUUUGUUAGAGAGGAUAAUGACGGUAUCUAACGAAUAAGCACCGGCUAACUCCGUGCCAGCAGCCGCGGUAAUACGGAGGGUGCAAGCGUUACUCGGAAUCACGGGGCGUAAAGAGCGCGUAGGCGGGAUAGCAAGUCAGAUGUGAAAUCCUAUGGCUUAACCAUAGAACUGCAUUUGAAACUGUUAUUCUAGAGUAUGGGAGAGGUAGGUGGAAUUCUUGGUGUAGGGGUAAAAUCCGUAGAGAUCAAGAGGAAUACUCAUUGCGAAGGCGACCUGCUAGAACAUAACUGACGCUGAUGCGCGAAAGCGUGGGGAGCAAACAGGAUUAGAUACCCCUGUAGUC